CCUACGGGAGGCAGCAGUAAGGAAUAUUGCACAAUGGAGGAAACUCUGAUGCAGCGAUGCCGCGUGAGUGAAGAAGGCCCUUGGGUUGUAAAACUCUUUCGUCGAGGAAGAAAAUGACUGUACUCGAAUAAGAAGGUCCGGCUAACUUCGUGCCAGCAGCCGCGGUAAUACGAAGGGACCUAGCGUAGUUCGGAAUUACUGGGCUUAAAGAGCUCCUAUGUGGUUAAAAAAGCCGAUGGUGAAAUCCCAAGGCUCAACCUUGGAACUCCCAUCAAAACUUUUUAGCUGGAGUAUGAUAGAGCAAAGUGCAAUCUGCAGUGUCGAGGUGAAAUUCCUAGAUAUUAGAAAGAACAUCAAUCCCGAAGGCAACCCUCGGGAUCAGUCAUGACACUGGCGAGAUAAUGCUUGGGUAGCGAAGUCGAUUCGCUACCCUAGUAGCCCAUGCAGUUCCUCCCUUGUGAUAGACGUUGGCAACCCUUGGUCCAUUGUCGCACACGAGGCAUGGCGCACUCAGGGUGGGGACCACGACCCCAUGUCAAAACUGAACCUAACUGUCGGA
rnacentral:rRNA from 1 species